rnacentral:rRNA from 1 species
CCUACGGGGGGCUGCAGUGGGGAAUAUUGGACAAUGGGGGGAACCCUGAUCCAGCCAUGCCGCGUGUGUGAAGAAGGCCCUCGGGUUGUAAAGCACUUUCAGUGAGGAAGAACGCCUGGUGGUUAAUACCCAUCAGGAAAGACAUCACUCACAGAAGAAGCACCGGCUAACUCCGUGCCAGCAGCCGCGGUAAUACGGAGGGUGCGAGCGUUAAUCGGAAUUACUGGGCGUAAAGCGCGCGUAGGUGGCUUGAUAAGCCGGUUGUGAAAGCCCCGGGCUCAACCUGGGAACGGCAUCCGGAACUGUCAAGCUAGAGUGCAGGAGAGGAAUGUAGAAUUCCCGGUGUAGCGGUGAAAUGCGUAGAGAUCGGGAGGAAUACCAGUGGCGAAGGCGGCCUUCUGGACUGACACUGACACUGAGGUGCGAAAGCGUGGGUAGCAAACAGGAUUAGAUACCCCUGUAGUC